rnacentral:tRNA from 1 species
AGUUCAUUGUUUUUUAAAGAAAUUUUUUAUUUAUAAGCUCUUAUAACCAUCCCCUCCUAAGGGACAGGCCACUGGUUCGACUCCAGUCGGGAGCGCCA